rnacentral:rRNA from 1 species
UGGGGAAUUUUCCGCAAUGGGCGAAAGCCUGACGGAGCAAUACCGCGUGAGGGAGGAAUGCCUUUGGGUUGUAAACCUCUUUUCUCAGGGAAGAAGAUCUGACGGUACCUGAGGAAUAAGUAUCGGCUAACUCCGUGCCUGCAGCCGCGGUAAUACGGAGGAUGCAAGCGUUAUCCGGAAUCAUUGGGCGUAAAGCGUCCGCAGGUGGUUUCCAAAGUCUGCUGUUAAAGACUGGAGCUCAACUCCGGAACGGCGGUGGAAACUUGGAAACUAGAGUUCGGUAGGGGUAGCAGGAAUUCCCAGUGUAGCGGUGAAAUGCGUAGAUAUUGGGAAGAACAUCGGUGGCGAAGGCGUGCUACUGGACCGUAACUGACACUCAGGGACGAAAGCUAGGGGAGCGAAAGGGAUUAGAUACCCCUGUAGUCCUAGCUGUAAACGAUGGAAACUAGGUGUGGCU